rnacentral:lncRNA from 1 species
AGCCCCCGCGCAUCUCUGUGGCAGCUGCUCCGUGCUUCCCGCCCCGCCGCGCCCGCCCACCCAACGGCGCUGUGUCCCGCCGGUAGCUCAGCGGGGACUUCCUUUAUGUGGUACAGGGUUGGGCCUGGAGACCCGGAUGCCGGCGAGGUCCUGGCUGGGAGAGGCCGCCGCUGCCUUCAGGUUUCCGAGACAAUGGAGACUCUGAGAACAUCCAGAAAUAUCCACAGGACUGGCGAGGCUGUGGGCUUUCAACCACCACGAGAGGCUGUUUGCAUAUGAUUCUUCUAAAAUUGACAUCAGUGAAAUGCCUUGAAGAUAAUAAAGUGUUGAAGAAAUAAACAAAAUCAGAAUAUAUGGGAUCAGUUAGAAAGCUCUUAUUUAAGAAACAUGGAGGAUAUGAGAGCAAGCAAUGAAGUAAUGUUACAAAAUGACAUAUUUGAGUAGUUCAUACUGGUGGAAUUUUCCUGGCACUCUCAUGAGUUGA